AUGGCGACCGGCGCACGGGUGCGUAACGCGUAUGCAACCUACCUUGUACAGGGGAAUAGCUCUCGGAAACGGGAAUUAAUACCCCAUAAUACUUUUAGAUACAUGUUUAGAAGUUAAAAACUCCGGUGGUACAAGAUGGGCAUGCGUGACAUUAGCUAGUUGGUAAGGUAACGGCUUACCAAGGCUUUGAUGUCUAGGGGUUCUGAGAGGAUUAUCCCCCACACUGGUACUGAGACACGGACCAGACUCC
rnacentral:rRNA from 1 species